rnacentral:lncRNA from 1 species
ACAAUGAGGUGAGACAUCUACCAGGCUUUGAGACAAACUUUAACUUUUCCUAUGAACUCUUCUCUAAAGCAGGUCACAGGGAAAAAAAGGGUUUAAAGAGAAAUAACUUCUCCGGGCAAAAACUGAGGUUAGCGGGCCUAUCAGCUGUUUCUUCUCACUCCACCACUGCUGCUGACUGGAGGAGCAGCCUGGAAAGCAGCCGCCCUCCCGCAAACAGAGCUCCAGCUCCAAAUCUGUGAGAGUGCAUUUGGCAGAAUCUGAACAAGCAACACAAUGAUUAGAGGGUUUUUGUUUUUUUGUUUGUUUUUAACAGUUUUGUUACAAUGUUUCCACCCCAAAAUGUACCUGGUACCAAAUAUACUCCCUGGAAUCUUCACUACGAUCAAGAUAAUGAACCUAUUCAUCACCCCCAGAAGUUUCCUCGUGCCCCUUUGUAUUACUUUUGUUUGUAAUAGGUAAGUUGACAUAUUUACUUUUGAUUCAUGGCUGUGUUCGACAAGAAGCUUGCAAAAUUACUCGGGAUUUAAUAAUCAGCUCUUACAAGCUAGUAUGAACUGGCUACAGCACACCACUGAUUCUGUUACUGCUCAUUCUCCUUUCUCUAGUUUAAGUAACUUCAGUUUCUUUGACAGUUCCUCAUCUUACCUAUGUUUUCCAGGCUUUCAUCAAUUUUAAACCUCUCAAUUCAGUGGUUGAGCUCAGACCUGGACCUAGAGAGACCUAUACUUUAGGUUAUAGGCUUAAAAAUGAAGCCUAUAAAUGCUUGGGGCAGUUUACAAGGGCUGAGAAAUUGGAGGUUGCUGGGAAAAGCAGCUCUACUAUAGAAAGGGUCCCUUUCUAAGUAAGUCACCCUUGGGAGUUCAGUCUGUGAAUGUCAGUAGAAGGAUGAAGGGAAGCAGGUUACCCAGUUCUGAUGUGGGGCAUACUAUUGCACACUGCUUUCUGCAAGCAGCACUUAGUAGCACUAAUUGAAUCCAACCCCACUGAUCAUUUCAGAUACCAACCCCCAUCUGGCCUAUAUCUACUCAGGAAUAAUGGCUGUGGGUGUCAUAGAGGUAAUUUGAAAGACAUUUUCCUCUACUGCUUUAAGUGAAACCUCAAGAAUAUUUUAAAAAACCCUCAGCAGUCCCAAAAUGUCUUAUUCAGGGUUAAUAACUUUCUUUCCACUGGCCAUAAUGGAAUUUAGUCCUCAUUUAUGUGUUCUUGCUUUUAUGAAUCCCAGAAAGAUGGCCUGAUUUUAAAGCUUGUCCUUGACUCUUCUUCAAGCAGCAGGAUCCAGAUCAUUCACUCUGCCACCAUAAUUUUAACAUAAAACACUCCUAAACUGUGUCUGAGACGAUUACAAAUUUCUUUAUCUUGCAGUAAAAGUAAAAUCUCAAAACUUUUACAAUUCUUAAUAGUAUUUAGGUUACCCUAGCCAAGUGCAGGCCUAGGAAUGCUAGGAAUGUCCUAGAUGCAAAUAGUUUUUUGGUGAAUGGUUAUUUAUGCAGAAUAUUCUGGCCCAAGCUGAAAAUGGCUUUUGAUUGUUUAGAAAGGAAAUUACAGCAUUUAAAACAUAUUAAAGUUUAAAAUAACAUUUUUGAGCAAUUAGGAUAUAAAAGAAUAGAUGGGGAAGAAAUUAGUUAAAUUGCAAGACCCGUAAACAAAACUAACACUACUCAUUUCAAUUCAGUUCCCAGCCUAAGAAAAUUUUCAUUUCAGCAAGGCUUUUCCUGUCUUUUAGACUACUGGAAAAAAUGGUUGGUUCAUUUCACAUGAAAGUAAUGGACCCUGGCUUUGGUCUAGUAUUAAUAAUGUAGAUGACAGUGUGAGGCAACACUGGGUCUGGGGGUUAUUCCAUUGGCAAAUAUGUAUGAAAAACACAGGAAUAUUUAUUCUGCUGAACUAUUUUUAUAAGCCUGUUAUGGCUUCUAAAUCAUCAAGAGGAAGGUUCCUUUACUUGCUACUCUUCACAUUUCCAAACCCUCCCGGUCUUUGAAUAGUUGUUGCUGUUCAAAGUGUAGGAGUAUAUGGAAGAGCAACAUGGAUAUCACCUGGGAGCUCAUUAGAAAUGCAGAACUUAGGCCCCAGACCUGCUGAAGCAGGAUCUGCAUGGUAACAAGAUCCCAGGCCAUUCACAAUCACAAGAAAGUCCCACAGGUGACCAUCUGCAGAGACUGUCUCUAAUAAUUUUGGCCCGCAAUGUUUAAUGCCUCUUUUCUCUGAACUUUUACCUUACCUUCUGUCUGCUCUAUAUAAUUUAGCAGUUGAUUAUAUGAUCUUAUGUUUCUUAAUAAUUACUGGAGGUAUGCAAAUCUUAUUUACAAGAUUAUGCAAGUCUCUGUUACGGAGGUUUGCAAUCAAUGCUCAUUAUUCCAUUGUUUGUUAAAGCCCUAUUCUAUUCCUUUCUGCCUUAUGUUCCAAAACAUUUUGAGGUCAGGUUUAGGAAAAAUUAUAAAAAAUUAUCCUAAUAUUAAUAAAAGUAAAUACAUGCUUUAGAAAGAAGCUGUUAAUAAGAGUGGAAGACUGUAAAUAACUUCAUAUAUAGUUUUUGUUUUCUUAUGAAUGCCAAGACAUGAAAGUAAACUGUGCUCUUGGCAAAUGGUUUAGAAUAUAACCAAUCCUUGAUUUUUCAUUAAAAUCAUAUCUGUAGCCUGUAAUCCCAGCACUUUGGGAUGUUGAGGCAGGAAGAUUGCUUGAGACCAGAAGUCAGAGACCAGCCUGGGCAACAUAGUGAGAUGCGUCUCUACCAAAAAAAGUAAAAAAAAAAAAAAAAAAAAAUUAGCUGGAUAUGGUAGUGCAUGCCUGUAGUCCUACCUACUCAGGAGGCUAAGGCGGGAGGAUCCCUUGAGCCCAGGAGUUCAAGGUUGCAGUGAGCUCUAAUUAUGCCAUUAUGCUGUAGCCUACAGCCUGGGCAACAGAGCAAGACCCUGAAUCAAAAAAGAAGAGAGAGAGAGAGAGAGAGAGAGAGAGAGAAAAGAAAGAAAGAGAAAGGAAAAAGGAAAGAAAGAAAGAAAGAAAGGCUUAGUACGAGUACAUCAAUAGCAAAAGAAUUAGAGGUACUAUGGCACAGUAGUUAAUUUAACAUUUUUUAUGGCAAUAUCUACUUUGUGAAUUGACCAUAAUAUUAUUUAAUCUCUAUGAGCUUGUAAGAUCUCAAUUUAAUAUCAUUACAAGCCAUCCCUUGUGUUUAAAGUACAUCUCCAUUAGAAUUAGUUCCCAGAUUGUAUUAAUGCUUAAAGAAUUAAAAUAACUAUUAGCAAGAGAGGAAUGAAAAAUCUAGGAAAACGAACAACAUAACACGUAUAUUGUACACACACACAUACACACACACACACCCACACAUACACACACAGGCUGACCUGUUGACUGCUCCAGGCAAUGUUGGAAUAGGAAAUAAGUUUUCUGUUGAGGUUAAUAUUUUUGUGGAUUUUUUUAACCAUUGUAAGAAAACCUGUAAUAAAUUUAAGAGUAGAAAAAAAUAGUUUUGCUGUUAGGAAAGAUAAAAGAAAGUUAUCAUAUAUUAUGUUCUGUAGAUUGUUUCUUUCGGUGGUAUCAAAAGAAUUGGCCCAUGUUUGAAGAUCUGAAUUUAAUUAAGUCUACACAGAAUAUAGUUUAAAGGUGUGAAGACUUUGCUAUUAAUAUGAUAAAUACUUUUUCUUAAGACAUUGUUUAUCUACAGAAAGACUACCAUAUUCAAGAUUUAAAGGUAGAUUGUUUUUGUUCACAUCAUUUUGAUCUUAGGUUUUGCUGGAAACAUUCACAAGAAGGGGGCCUUUAAUUUAUGUAUGCUUUAAGAAUACUUAAUAGCUAAUCUACAAAUUAAAAAAAAAAAUACCUGGCUAGGCACGGUGGCUCACGCCUGUAAUCCCAGCACUUUGGGAGGCCGAGGUGGGCAGAUCACGAGGUCAGGAGAUCGAGACCAUCCGGGCUAACAUGCAGAAGCCCUGUCUCUACUAAAAACUCAAAAAAUUAGCCGGGCGUGGUGGCACAUGCCUCUAGUCCCAGCUACUCGGGAGGCUGAGGCAGGAGAAUCCCUUGAAUCCCGGAGGUGGAGGUUGCAGUGAGCCGAGAUUAUGCCACUGUACUCCAUCCUGGGCAACAGAGCGAGACUGUGUCUCAAAAAAAAAAAAAAAAAAAAAUUCCUUUUUUGUUUUUCCACAAAAAUUUUUUCUGUGUUUUCCUUGAAGUUUUUCCAAGGAAAAACUUUGGAAACCAUGUCCUGCCUUGAAUUACUUUUAAUAAUCUCAAGACAGCAUGGAUUGGCUUGCAAAGACUAAUAGUUGACUUCAUGUUCCAGAAGCAUCAGAGAAUGCUGAUCAUGUUGAGAGCUGGCCCCUUUGCAGGCAUCUACUGGGUUUCCUGGAAGUAAAAACUUGUAAUUUUCAAGUAUGGCAUGGGGAUAGUUGCUCUGAAAUGCAUUCCAGAACUGUCAAGAUUAGGUCUUCAUGAGAAGUCAGGUUUGGAGAAGUCAUUCAUUCAAGAUGAUGUUUAGGUAGUAGAAAUCAGUGAAGGUGAUUGCAGAGGUCAAAGGGCAUGACCCUACAUUCUAAUGACAGGAAUUGUGUUUGGAAAAUUUCAGUUUUCUUCUUAAUGUGUCCACUUGAAUGCAUGCAAGCUCUGUGGAGAUAAGCAGAGUCUAUGGUAGUUUUGUCCUGUGGCUAUCUUGGGCCCACUAGAAUCAUAGCAGAUAUGACAGAGGCACAGCUUGCCUCAGUUUCUGCUUACACACAGAACAGCUUCUUCUACAUAUAAAGCCACAUAUAAUUUAACACCUAAACUAGGACACUUGUGACAGUGAAAAGAGAUGCUAUUGACAAUUUCAGCUGGAAAACAGGUGGAUACCAUUUGGCUAAUGGAUCAAUGAGAAAUGUUGAAGAAUGAAUGAACCAGCAUCUGUGUGUUUUAUUAAUGGGUUUUCAAAGACCCUGGGUCUUCAGACCUAAGAAGAAGGUGGUAUAGCAAAGCACUGGCUUUGGGGGUACACAGCCAGUUGAAAUCCUACUUUAACAUUUACUGUUUGUGUGAUCUUGGGCAUAUUUGCUAAUUACUUUGUGUCUCUCUGUUUUCUUGUUAUAAAUGGGAAUAAUAAUUCUCACCACACCGGGUUGUUUUAAGAAUUAAAGAAAUGAUGUAUAUAUAGCAUUUGGUGUGGUGCCUGGCACAGAGUAAACAUUUGGCAAAUAAUCAUUAUUAUUCUUAAUUAUUGUCCCUACUUGACCAGAACCUUGUUCUAGGUAUAAGAAUAAUGCUACAGCACAGUCAAGGUGGAGAAGAGCCAUUUUGGCCUCUUGGUCGAAGCAUCCAUUGUAACAAAACAACUCAGCCUGAUGUCCCAUGAUCAUGAAAGGAGCUCAUGGUAGGACUGAAUGAACACGGUGUCUUACAAAUAUUUAGGCUGAAUCAUGAGGACCAGGGCCCAAGCCUUUAGUAUAGGCCUACUGCUUGAAUAGGAAGGCCUUAUACAACCAAAAUGACCUAGAUUUCCAGCACAUCUUCCUGAUGCUCUGCAAUAUUUAUCUUUUUCUUGGAAGAGCUCAUUAGCAAGAUGGAAGGUGUUCAGGUUACUCACGAAUGUACAUAUUAUAGACUUCUCUUUAUGAGUAUAUGUGUUAGUUUAUUUUUGCAUUGCUACAAAUACCCGAGGCUUGGUAAUUUAUAAAGAAAAGAGGUUUAAUUAGCUCACAGUUCUGUAGGCUGUAUAGGAAGCAUGGUGCUGGCAUCUGCUCAGCUUCUGGUAGGGCCAUAGGGAGGUUUUACUCAUGGCAGAAGGCCAAGGGGGAAAAAGGCAUGGUGAGAGAGGGAGCAAGAGAGAGAGAAGGGGGAGGUCCCAGACUCUCUGAACAACUAGGUCUAUUGUGAACUGAGUGAGAACUCACUCAUCACCAAGGAGAUGGUGCUAAGCCAUUCAUGAGGGAUCUGCCCCCAUCAUCCAAUACUUCCCACCAGGCCCCACCUCCAACAUUGAGGAUCACAUUUCAACAUGAGAUUUGAAAGGGACACACCUCCAAAUCCUAUCAGUAUAUGAAUAAUGUUGAAAUAUACUUUUCUGGGGGAAUAUAGGGGAAGUAGGGCCAGUGGUUUGCUCAUAAAAAAAUUUCAAAAAUUGUGAAAGCCAUCAUUAAAAAUUAAUUUAUAUAUAAACCUGUACUAAAUAAAAGAUCUUAAAAACAAAGUUUAUAAAUACUCAAAACUCAUUACUUCAUAAUUAUUUUACUACAUUUUACUAAUAUCUAUGCUUUUAAGUUUGUGUCUGUUGUGUCUGUAUGGGAGAAAUAUUCUACGGUGGUCUGCUGUUGUCAUUAUAUAUCUUUUCUCAGUUCAGUGUAUUCAGUGAUGUCACCCUGGUAGCUUGAAAUUAGCCAUGAUGGGAAUAGUUACACCAUGGAAACUGGUGAGCACUACAAAUAAAGGCUUGAUUUAUUGUUUUUUGAUUGUUGAUUGCCUCGACCUUAGACAGUUAUACAGGAAAUGCACAUUAAACUUAAAUGUAUGCCUUGACUGUAACCAGCACGGUGUGAAUGGACCAAAAAAUGAGGAAAUAUUCUUCAAGUAUUCAAAAACAAUUCUCUGAUAGAGCAAAGAAGUCACUUCAUCAUUGAGAAACUACUGAAGUUCCUAUAUUUAUCUUCAUUGUUUCACUUUCUUGUUAACAUAAAAAAAUGUGUUAACCAAGAUUUAUGUCAGAACUAUACUGUGGCUCAUCAAUUGCAGCCAUAGGUUGGCUGUGAAUGCAACAGUUUAGUAAAAACAAAAACAUUCUGUGAGAUUCAAUUAGCUAUAUAUAAUUUACAGUAACAAAUAUUGUAUAUAUUAUUAUUUGCAAAUUGUAUGCCAAGAAUCCUUCAUAUUAGUCACAAUUUAUAAUAAUUGUAUGUAUAUGUCCAUCUAUCUAUGCCUAUAUUGUUUUUUUUUUAAAUUAUUAUUAUACUUUAAGUUUUAGGGUACAUGUGCACAAUGUGCAGGUUAGUUACAUAUGUAUACAUGUGCCAUGCUGGUGCGCUGCACCCACUAACUCGUCAUCUAGCAUUAGGUAUAUCUCCCAAUGCUAUUCCGCCCCCCUCCCCCCACCCCACAACAGUCCCCAGAGUGUGAUGUUCCCCUUCCUGUGUCCAUGUGUUCUCAUUGUUCAGUUCCCACCUAUGAGUGAGAAUAUACGGUGUUUGGUUUUUUGUUCUUGCGAUAGUUUACUGAGAAUGAUGAUUUCCAAUUUCACCCAUGUCCCUACAAAGGACAUGAACUCAUCUUUUUAUGGCUGCAUAGUAUUCCAUGGUGUAUAUGUGCCACAUUUUCUUAA